CCUCCAUUGACGCAUCUCGAGCUCUCUCUUCUCCUCUAUAGACGAUGCUUCUCGAGCUCUCUUCUCCUCCAUAGACGCUUGUCGAGCUCUCUCUUCUCCUCCAUAGACGACGCUUGUCGAGCUCUCUCUUCUCCUCCAUAGACGACGCUUCUCGAGCUCUCUCUUCUCCUCCAUUGACGACCCAUCUCGAGAUCUCUCUUCUCCUCCAUUGACGACCCAUCUCGAGCUCUCCCUCUCUCGAUCUCGGACACAAACCCAUCUCCGAGCUCUCUCUCGAUCUCUCUUCUCCGACGCAAACCGACGCAAACCCAUCUCGAGCUCUCUCUCUCUCGAUCUCUGACGCAAACCCAUCUCUGAGCUCUCUCUCGAUCUCUCUUCUCCGACGUAAACCGACGCAAACCCAUCUCAAGCUCUCUCCGUCACGACGCAUCUCGAGCUCUCUCCGUCUCGACGCAUCUCCGAGCUCUCUCUCGAUCUCUUCUCCGACACAGACCCAUCUCAAGCUCUCUCUUGAUCUCACAGGUCUCAGGCUCGCAAGCUCACUCUUCCUUUUCUCGAGCUAGACCAAACCCAUCUCUUCCUUUUCUCGUUGAGGCUCUCUCGUCUCAAGCUGACACUCUCAAGUUGAGACCCUCCAAAGUUCAAGAUGACAAAAGAUAACUGGCCUCCUGAGGAGACUAGAUACUUUUUCCAACUUUAUGCCGAAGAGAGAAGAAAGGGAAAUAGGACCAGUACGUCUAUGAAUAAAGUAGGGAAGGAGAACAUCAUGGUGGCGUUUGAAGACAGGUUUAAGAAAGGAUAUGAUUCUUGGCAGACUUUCAAGAACAAAUACGACACAAGUAGGAAGAAAUACACCAAGUUUAGGAAGUUAACUAAGAAUAGGACAGGGCUUGGGUUUGAUAACUUGGGAAGGAUCGAUAUGUCAGAUGAUUGGUAGAGUGAACGCGAAAAGAUACAAAAGCUCCCAAUAAAGAUGCGCGGACUUCCAGUCUGCACACUUUCACCCCACCCACCGUGGCAUGCAUGUUCAUAAUCACUACGAAAAAGAACGUGCGCGUUUUCAAUCUUCAGAAGAGAGAGCUGGCCAUCAAAAAGCUCGAGACCGGGUUGAGAGAGAUCUCAUCGAUGGCGAUUCAUCCCGGCGGCGAUAAUCUGAUCGUAGGAAGCAAAGAAGGGAAGAUGUGUUGGUUUGACAUGGACCUGUCCUCGAAACCGUACAAGACUCUCAAGAAUCAUCCUAAAGACAUUGUGAACGUGGCGUUUCACCGAUCGGAUCCGCUGUUCGCUUCUUGGUCGGAGGAUUCGACGGCUUAUGUGUUCCAUGGGAAGGUGUAUAGUGAUCUUAACGAGAAUCCUCUGAUCUGCCGUUGGAGAUUCUAAGAGGCCAUUCUACUUCUUCAAAUAGAGGAGUCUUGGACUGCAAGUUUCAUCCGAGGCAACCAUGGCUAUUCACUGCAGGCGCCGACUCGGGCUAAGCCCAAUUGGGCUUUGGAUUUUUUGGACUUAAACCCGUUUAGGCUAGGACCGGUCCGAAAACCCGAAACUCUAUACUUUAGCUUAAAUAUUAUCGUUCUUGCAAUCAAAACCAUUAUUAGUAUUGACUUAUAAUUUUAAUAUUUUAAUUCAAACUCUAAUAAAGCAAAUGUAAAAGUCGUUAAUGCAUUUAAUUGUUUGAUCA